UCCUGGGUAGGGACUAGAGGGGCGGCGCUGUAGCUCAUUAGGGGCGCGCGUCCGGCACUUCACCGCGCCUUCCGGUCCAUGAGCGCGUUCGAACCGAUACCGCUCUGUGGAACUCAAGUUCGACCUCGGUAUUGGAGAUGAAGAGACAGGUUUAGAACUUAAGCUUCGACCUGCGCCCGCUGGGCAGUUUUCUGACGGCCACUUCUCUCGGCGUCUUCGGGGAGGCCGUGCUCAGCUUCCUCAGGGUACCUGUCCUCCUCUGCUUUCCCUCGCCUCCAUCUCUCCGUUUACUUAGAUUAAGUUGGCUGUGGGUGACAUUUAGUGUAAUUCCUAGUCCGGAUGAAGAUGCGGGCGAAAAGAGGCCCCUCAACUCACUCAAAAACGCGCAGCAAGUAAUCGGCAGUUGGAAUUCCUGCUGAGGACUUAAGGCGUGGCAGCCUGUGGAACCCUCACCCCAUCCCUCAGAUUAGACGGUCAUCCCGCCGCUGCGUCCUGUCCAGUUUCCAUGAUAAUGUCAGCGCUGCCUGGAACAGUGUACGCUUACCAUACACCCACCCGUUCAACAAACACUUGUUUGCACCUGCUCUGAGCCGGACACUCCAGCUCACUGGGAUGCAGACUUAAAUACAAAGUCUCCAGCCUUAACAAGCUCAGUCCUUAGCUGGGAAGCUUGCGACGGUGAGGUGCCAGAGCAGGUACACCGGUGUGGUGUGCAAGCCCAGAGCAGGCCACCUGGAACAGCUGGAGAGCUGAGGAAGGCCCAUGAGGUGGCAUGGUAAUGCCCGCACGGAACCGUGAUGGUGCGGAAACUGAGGCCCUAAAGGAGGAUGGAGUUUGUCCAAAAUCAUAAAUUGAGCAAAUGCCUUUCCAGGCCUAGACCCCAGGUCCAGGGUGCAAAGAAACUGGACCUGGCCGCAGAGUCAGGCAGUUCCUUCUGUUUCAGCAGAAGAUGAUGCAGCAGGCCAGUCUCCAAGUGCGUGAAGGUUGAUUUCUGGGGACAGAAGGGACAGAUCAUUUUGCUGGCACCUUGGAGGUGGUGCAAAGACACACAGCCAAAUAAGAUUGAUCCACAUGGGAAAUAUUUUUAUUGAAGUCAGACUUAAAGAAAACGAUGUAUACCUGGAUCUUGCUUAAAUGAUGAAGAUGGCUCAUAUCAUUGGGGUUGAAGAAACCUGACAUGAAACAGGGAUCAGAUGGCAGGGAACAGAGGGCCUGAACAAGUCAGCUCUCGCGGCCCUGCUCCCUCUGCCGUGAAACAGCCCUCACAGCACCUCCGAGGGUUAUUAAGAGAAGUCUCUGGGAUCUCUGCGUCGGGCUUGAGCACUGGGAGCGGCACAGAAAGUGGUAUCAUAGCUCUGCACCGCAAAGGCGUGGGCCCUUUGCCCCUUUGCCAUCUGCCUCCUGUGUGUGUGCUGCCUUCCAGUCAUCUUACUCUGCUUUCCCCUGAGGACUCUCCUGGGAACUGCUGUGGAGCCUGAGGCUGGGGUCAGGUCAGCCAGCCGCCUCUGCUGGGACCUGUCUUCAUGCCAGCAGACUUGCCCCACUGCAGCAGUGGAACCUGGCAGUAAAUGCUGGGGAAGCAGCUGAAGCCUGUAGGUCCCCAGGGCUCCGGCUGCACCCCCCAUCCCACUGGUGUCUUGUGGCAGCAGGGUCAGAGGUCAGGGGAAUGUGGUCAGACCAGAGGACAGGCUGUCAGGCUGUUUCCGGUGUAAAGUCUUAGCUGUCAGACUGUGAUCCUCUGACCAGGUGGGAGGGAAUUAUGAGCCAUUCACUAAUUUAAUAAAUGUGAAAAUAGACU